rnacentral:lncRNA from 1 species
UUACAUAGCUCAUUAGUACACGUAUAUAUAGUGAAGCAGCCCUACGGUGGUGGACAUGGUCCGGCGUGUUCACUGUUCACCGACAUUUCGAUAUCGAGAUAUCGUCACUGCAUCAAAUUAGUACAUCGCCGGUCGCUCGUAUGACUUCCGCCAGGUAGUCUGGAUGGUUGACAACAACUACCUCCACUUAAUUCAUUUUGACGUCUACAAAUGAACCAUGACCAACACAUAUCACGCCCGCAUGUACUUCUACCGCGCCGCGAGAAACAUGCGACCGCGCACAAUAAAUACUCGAUACGAAGGUCUCGCGAACGCGUUCAUUACUAGCUAGAGCUAUCUAAGGAAAUAGCAAAUGGAAAGAAGCCGACAUGCUUUGUAGACAUCAAGUCUAUUGUCAUCAGAUUGGUCUCGAUAAUAUACAUUUCGAUGGACUGGACCUUUUUGGUGUGGUCGGUCACUGCCUUCUGACCAUUGCUAUUCAGAGCUGAAGGUGAACGAAGAAAAACACAAGAUGGAAUACCCAGUAAUAACCCAUAAAAGAACAAAAGCAGAACCCGUCAUUUCUCGCCAGUAGUCAUGAUAAAAUGAACAAGAGUAAUAUGAAAAAGCAAGACCCCCAUGAUCGCCAUCCCAAUUAAUCGUGAGUCAUAUGAAAGGUAUAUUGACUCAUCGAAUCACGUCAAGAACAAGAAAGAAUUUAUGAGCGCUCGCCACGGAGACGGCGGGCAAGCUGGAU